rnacentral:ncRNA from 2 species
CACAUAUGCCAGAGGAAAAGUUCCAGAGAUGGAUUAAAUGGGAAUUCGGUGAGAAUCCGAAACGAUCCCGUCACUGUGAUUGUGAGCAGACCGUAUGAUGUCACUGAGGUUCAGGCCUUGGGAAGGCACGGCGAGCGUUGAGCAUAAGUCAGGAGACCUGCUUAUCCUUUUACCUUGAG